GUCUGUGAAGAUGCAGACUACCUGCACCUGGACAGAAAGACCCUAUGAAGCUUUACUGUUCCCUUGGGCUGGCUUUGGGCCUUUCCUGGACAUCUUAGGUGGAAGGUGAAUAAGGCCUCUUUCCAGGGGGGGGGGGCGAACCAUCUGUGAGAUACCACUCUGGAAGAGCUCGGAUUCUAACCUUGUGUCAGACCCGUGGGCCAAGGGACAGUCUCAGGUAAACAGUUUCUAUGGGGUGUAGGCCUCCCAAAAGGUAAUGGAGGCAUGCAAAGGUUUCCUCGGGCCAGACGGACAUUGGUCCUCGAAUGCAAAGGCAGAAGGGAGCUUGACUGCAAGACUCACCCGUCGAGCAGAGACAAAAGUCGGCCUUAGUGAUCUGACAGUGCAUAUUAUCAUAUAGAAAUAAGCGAAGCAUAGCGAUUCGUACUACCGGAAAAGUGUCGCUAACUGCUAGG
rnacentral:ncRNA from 1 species